AUACUAAGGGUUAAUUUGUUCUCCACCGUUUGUCUGCUUUGUCAAAGAGGAAAUAAAUCUAUAAUAUGAGCAAGUGUCUGUCAGCUUGUGUACAGGUUGGAAUUGAACUGAGUAGAUUCCUGAAUUUAACUGUUCACGAGACACAGAUGAAUUCCAUAAUAUCUGAAGAGGAGUUAUUAAAUACUAAGGGUUGAUUUGUUCUCCACCGUUUGUCUGCUUUGUCAAAGAGGAAAUAAAUCUAUAAUAUGAGCGUCUGUCAGCUUGUGUACAGAUUGGAAUUGAACUGAGUAGAUUCCUGAAUUCAACUGUUCACGAGACACAGACGAAUUCCAUAAUAUCUGAAGAGGAGUUAUUAAAUACUAAGGGUUGAUUUGUUCUCCACCGUUUGUCUGCUUUGUCAAAGAGGAAAUAAAUCUAUAAUAUGAGCAAGUGUCUGUCAGCUUGUGUACAGAUUGGAGUUGAACUGAGUACAUUCCUGAAUUCAACUGUUCACGAGACACAGAUGAAAUCCAUAUCUGAAGGUAAAAUAUUAAAUACUAAGGGAUAAUUUGUGCUCCACCAUUUGUCUGCUUUGUCAAAGAAGAAAUAAAUCUAUAAGUGUCUGUCAGCUUGUGUACAGGUUGGAAUUGAACUGAGUAGAUUCCUGAAUUUAACUGUUCACGAGACACAGAUGAAUUCCAUAAUAUCUGAAGAGGAGUUAUUAAAUACUAAGGGUUAAUUUGUUCUCCACCGUUUGUCUGCUUUGUCAAAGAGGAAAUAAAUCUAUAAUAUGAGCAAGUGUCUGUCAGCUUGUGUACAGAUUGGAAUUGAACUGAGUACAUUCCUGAAUUCAACUGUUCACGAGACACAGAUGAAAUCCAUAUCUGAAGGUAAAAUAUUAAAUACUAAGGGAUAAUUUGUGCUCCACCAUUUGUCUGCUUUGUCAAAGAAGAAAUAAAUCUAUAAUAUGAGCAAGUGUCUGUCAGCUUGUGUACAGGUUGGAAUUGAACUGAGUAGAUUCCUGAAUUUAACUGUUCACGAGACACAGAUGAAUUCCAUAAUAUCUGAAGAGGAGUUAUUAAAUACUAAGGGUUAAUUUGUUCUCCACCGUUUGUCUGCUUUGUCAAAGAGGAAAUAAAUCUAUAAUAUGAGCAAGUGUCUGUCAGCUUGUGUACAGGUUGGAAUUGAACCGAGUAGAUUCCUGAAUUUAACUGUUCACGAGACACA